UGACUCUCUAAAGAAACAGGGGAGGAUGCUGUAGAAACAACUACAUAUGUUGCAGAAGAAGAGCAAUGUCAUGGAAAUACCCGGAUGAAGGUCUCCAUCCAACUCCCAGGAGCGAGGGGCUUGUGCUGUCAGUAAUCAGACCUCCAAGCAUCUGGCCGACAUCUCACAGCUGAACCUAGCCCUCUGCCUGUCCUCACCUCCCGCUCCACUCCUCCUGAUGCAGAAGGCAUCCCUGGCCGCUCAAGGCAGCUCAUCUCAGAUGAGGGGAUGGCUCACUAUCUCCAACAGAUGAUCUUAAAAUUACUACUCAAUUUAAAAGACAUCCACUAAUAUUUACCAAGUCAAUGUGAAAUUGCUAACUCUUCCCUAUCAAGAGGGCAACCUGCUCUUGAGGCCCAUUUCCCAGAAGGCUACGUUUAGGAUUAGGUGUAAGAAGUAUGGUUUGUCCCCUGUGUUCUGCAUUUAGGGCUCUCCAGACUACAAAGAAGGUUCUGGGGCCAUGAGGCAGUAGCCUUUCUCACUGUGCAGGCAAUUAUGAGGUAUUAUAAAAUGUCAGAAUUUUGACUGAAAGACUGGGUGUAUACAAAUUCUUUCAAUUCACUUCAUAGCAGCAGAGUCAUAAUAGGCUUCUUUCUCCAUCCUGCAAAAAGCAAGCCUUUUCUUCAGACUCCGUAGGGCUUCUAGAUCCCCCGUGUACCACGUGUGUGAACUGGCCCCCCACCCGGGCAUUUGUACAUCCACCUACAGGAAGCUUUGUGACAGCAGGACAGCUAUUAUAGGUCUGUCCUCAAGAUUUCUGGGUGAACAAGCUGCUAAAGGAGGAAGUGGUGUGCUCUCCCCAACGACUGACUACCUUCCUUCCCCGACUACCACACCAGCAAGAGAAUGGAUGAAGCUCAUGCAGUGUUUGUUAAUCUGACCCAAGGAAGUGGCCUUCAAAUUUAAGCUGCGGAAGACCUGCAGCUACAGAAGAAGCUGCUGCCUUUCACCAGCAAUACUUGGGCAGCAAAGACUCAGUGUGACAAAGCUUAUCCCUACUCUCAUGGUCUCUGGUGGGACCCUGUGGACAUCCUGGCUGCAUGCCCAGAAUAGAAUGGGAGAAGCCUAAAUGAAGCUCUCUACCCGGAAGACCUCUUCAUCUCAGCAGUGGUGACCCUGCGAGUAACUCAUCACAUCCUUCUCAGGUCAUGAAUGAGUGGGUGACUCAUGCUCCAAAGAGCUUCUCAACAGUGGUGACCUGACUAGUAAAACA